GAUCUGGCUCAGAUUGAACGCUGGCGGCGUGCUUAACACAUGCAAGUCGCGCGUGAAAGGACUUCGGUCCGAGUAAAGCGGCGCACGGGUGAGUAACGCGUGGAUGAUCUACCCAUGAGUUGGGAAUAACGGUUGGAAACGAUCGCUAAUACCCGGUACGUUCCGAUUUCAACUUCGGGAGAAAGGGGGCCUCUGCUUGCAAGCUUCUGCUCAUGGAUGAGUCCGCGUCCCAUUAGCUAGUUGGUGAGGUAACGGCUCACCAAGGCAUCGAUGGGUAGCCGGUCUGAGAGGACGACCGGCCACACUGGGACUGGAACACGGCCCAGACUCCUACGGGAGGCAGCAGUGGGGAAUAUUGCGCAAUGGGCGAAAGCCUGACGCAGCGACGCCGCGUGAGGGAUGAAGGUCUUCGGAUCGUAAACCUCUGUCAAGAGGGAAGAAACGUCAGGGUGCUAAUCAGCCCUGAUCUGACGGUACCUCUAAAGGAAGCACCGGCUAACUCCGUGCCAGCCGCCGC
rnacentral:rRNA from 1 species